GAUCAUGGCUCAGGAUGAACGCUAGCGGCAGGCCUAAUACAUGCAAGUCGAACGGGAUAGGCCCCUUCGGGGCCUGAGAGUGGCGCACGGGUGCGCAACGCGUAUGCAACAACCCCCGACAGGCGGAUAGCCGGUGGAAACGCCGGAUAAUACGCCAUGGUUCCGUGGGAGGGCAUCCUCCUGAGGAUAAAGCCGAGAGGCGGUCGGGGACGGGCAUGCGUCCCAUUAGAUGGUAGGCGGGGUGACGGCCCACCUAGUCCACGAUGGGUAGGGGAUCUGAGAGGACGGUCCCCCACACUGGUACUGAGACACGGACCAGACUCCUGCGGGAGGCAGCAGUAAGGGAUAUUGGUCAAUGGGCGGAAGCCUGAACCAGCCCAUGCCGCGUGAGGGAAUGAGGCCCUACGGGUCGUGAACCUCUUUUAUUCGGGGACAAGGACGCGGUCGGGAACCGUGUUUGAGGGUACCGAAGGAAUAAGCGUCGGCUAACUCCGUGCCAGCAGCCGC
rnacentral:rRNA from 1 species